AUUGAACGCUGGCGGCAGGCCUAACACAUGCAAGUCGAAGGGAGUGGCGAACGGGUGAGUAACACGUGAGUAACCUGCCCUUUUCUUUGGGAUAAGCCUGGGAAACUGGGUCUAAUACUGGAUGGAUUGGGCUGUGCUCGCGGCUUAUCAGCUUGUUGGUGGGGUGAUGGCUUACCAAGGCUUUGACGGGUAGCCGGCCUGAGAGGAUGACCAGCAACACUGGAACUAAGACACGGGCCAGAAUCCUACGGGAGGCAGCAGUGGGGAAUAUUGCACAAUGGGCGCAAGCCUGAUGCAGCCAUGCCGAGUGUAUGAAGAAGGCCUUCGGGUUGUAAAGUACUUUCAGCGGGGAGGCGUUACCCGCAGAAGAAGCACCGGCUAACUCCGUGCCAGCAGCCGCGGUAAUAC
rnacentral:rRNA from 1 species